GGUAUCUGAUGCACUAACACACACUGUACUAAUUGCAGAUGCCACUAGGGCCACAUCCCAGUUCAAAAACACACAUGGACUGUCCUGGUGAAUUGGGGAAGCAAGCAGCAGCCAUUCAGCCAGCAGAAACAGAGAGAGGAAAGGAAAAAAAAGCAGAAGUUCAAAUGGAAGAGACAUCAUUUUUGAGAAACCGAUUUUGGGUCUUGAGACAUGGCAAAAGCAUUCCCAACGAGAGAGGACUCAUAGUUUCAUCUCUGGAAAAUGGCGCCCUUUCAGAGUACCAACUAGCGUCUGAAGGUGUCAAACAGGCACAAUUGGCUGGAGAGUUAUUCCUUGAGGUAUAUCUAUUCACAUAGCAUCAUUUUUCAAGGUUUCAUUUUUUCAUUGUGUAUAUCUGUUUAUCUGACCUGAAUUAACUGCUAAUAUCUGUAUAUCUGAUCUGAAUUAAUUGCAGUUUUUCUUUGUCCAAUUCUGAAUUCCCAUCUUUGAUACUAUUUUCUUUUGGUGCUUUAUGCAAUAAAGAGUGUUUUUUGGAGGCAAUAUAGGGGCUAGUUUUUUGCAAGAACUUUGAUAAAAGCCAUUUCAAUCAUAAUAAUAUGGUAUUAUAAUUCUAUUUCAGGCUUAUAUCAAGGGAACUGACUAUAUUUACAACCUGAAAGGCAAUUCUGAUAUUAUUGUGAACAAACUUGAUACCAGUCAAACUGAUUUUUGAGGUUUCUGGAAUUGAAGAUGUUCAGGAUGUAACUAUUUGUGCAGAAACACUUGGAUAAAAAGUUAAAUUUUUUUGGAAACAAAAUACCUGGAAGUGGUUAGUCAUAAACUGCUAAUAUACUUUGCAGGCUACAGUAGCAGUUUAGUUCCUAAUGUUUUAUGCUUAACUCUCCCUAGACCCUUUAAAUUUAAUACGUAUGAUGCUAGUGAGCAUGAUGGUUGCAGCAUUAGGGAUAAAAUUAGUCAUCCAUUUAGAAGCAGAGGUACUAAAAUUGAUGUUUUUAUAAUUAUGAUGAUGAUUGGUUAGCAAAAGUGUAAAAGCAUUUUAAAUUUCUGAUGAUAUUUAAUAUAAUUAAACAAAAAGAGAAGAAAAGGGAAAGAGUAGAGUGUAUAUUAUUCCUAAUUCAAGAGUGAUUUUUGUAAUUUUCCAGUAAUUGGGUGACUCUGUACCUGAACCAUGAAUAUGCAAGGUUGACCCAGAAUGCAUACUGAAAGUUGAAGCUUUUUGCUGUUUGGGAAUAAUAAGACCAGAAAUGGACAUUACUCAUCUGGAGAGUUAUAUAAGAAUAUUCAAAUUGACUAUUGGGAAAAGGAAAAAUGGAAUAUCACUUGCUUCCAUUGCCAAUAGUAUCAUACAAUUCAUGUUAACAUCGUAUAUUAAUUGCUUGGACACAUGCUUGAGUUUUUUCCCCUCCAAACUCACUUUACAAUUCAUGGCAUGGUAGAAUUUAUUCUACAAUGAUCUGUUUCUAAUCUGGGCAGCAAUUGAAGGAAAGAAACAUACCACUAGAAAGUGUUCGCAUUUGCUACUCUCCAUUUGCAAGAACAAGUCACACUGCUAAAGUUGUUGCAUCUGUUUUGAAUCUUCCAUUUGAAGGUCCUCAAUGUAAGGUGAUGGAAGAUCUCCGAGAACGGUAUUUUGGUCCUUCAUUCGAACUAAUGUCGCAUGAUAAGUAUCCUGAGAUAUGGGCACUUGACGAGAAAGAUCCAUUCAUGCAACCGGAAGGUGGAGAAAGUGCUAAUGAUGUUGCUAACCGACUUGCAAGUGCCAUGGCAAGUAUGGAGUUGGAAUUUCAAGGAUGUGCGAUACUGAUUGUGAGCCAUGGUGAUCCUUUGCAAAUCUUGCAAACAAUACUCAGUGCAGUCAAGCAACACAAUGGAUCCACUUGUGAUGACUUAUCAUCGAUGGUUCAAGCAGUCAAAAUCCCUUCAAUCUUGUCUCAGCACCGGAAGUUUGCCUUGCUUACUGGAGAGCUUCGGCAGAUUAUAUAAAUCAACACUCUGCCAAGAAGCUAAACCUUGUGACUUUGGCAAACUAUUUUUAGUGUAGAUCCUGGAAUUAAUUUUAGCACCUGCCAAGUUGGAAAUUUGCUUGGGCAAUUGGGUAAUAUUUGUUGUCUUAUUAAUAAUCUAUGCCAUGGAAGAAGAUACGGCUUAUUGCAUUGGGAUAUUAUUUAUCAUGGUUAUUAUUUCCUGUUAUAGAUUUUUGUAGCAGCUAAGCUGGAAAAGGAGCUUGGAUAACAUGAACAGCGCUAAUCAGUAAGCAAUCACAAAUAGAGUAGUGAUUAGUUUUGGUGAUAGUGAUGGUAACACCAAUGUCAAAAAUGUAGUUAGUGUGGCAGGGAAAUCUCCUAAUGAAAACACCAAUGAAAUAAUCUUCCUUAUUUUUUAAUUGAAAGGC
rnacentral:misc_RNA from 1 species